rfam:Stegodyphus mimosarum contig113058, whole genome shotgun sequence.
AAAAAGGUCCUUUUAAGGACCACCUUGAUGGGCGUAGCCAGAAUCU